UUAGUGUGUAAAAUUCGCGCGCUUUUGUCACAGCCAUUGUUAUUGUUUACGAUUUUUAACUGGAAAACUACACUAUGUUGACAGCUUCAGUUGCUUUUGGCCUGCUGUAACUGAAUGUGGAUGAAAAUCAAUAAUUCAAUGUAAAUAUUGAUGAUGCCAGCCUAGCUAAAAUAAGCUGUCUAUAAUCUUUGUUUCAAGCCAGAUUUUACACCAAGCCUUUUCAAAGUCAUGGAAAUGAUUAAAAGCCAAGCUAAGAAUUUGUUCUAUAUUCAUUGCAAAAAGAUUUUAAAAUGGAGCUGCUCCAUACAUGGGGAUCCGGAUGGACAUGUUGCAAUUUAUGCCUGAAUUCAAAUUUUUGGAGGAUUGUUAUGAUAAUUAUAAAUUCUCAUUUUAGAAGAACAAGUUGAUUUAAGAUUUGUCUCUUACAUAAUUCAGUCUGAAAAAGCUGCCUCCCUUAUUCUUAUCACAACUAAGGUGACAUGUCUGUUUCACUUCAGUGCGUGUGUACAGGAAUAGACUUUUCCUGGACGUCUCAUCUAGAAUGCAACUGGUGUUAAUCCUGCAGAGAAGGACAAAUAUUGAUUGGGUGACAUAAAGACCCUUUGGCAUCAGCUUAUUAACAGUUCAGUGAUUGUUUAUGUUAUUGCAGCAACUGGAGAUAAAUCUUGAUUUAAGGACCCCCCCUCCCUUGCUGACUUCCAAAAGAGGUGGGGGUGGGGUAAAAUCCUAUUCAGCAUGUCUGUGGAGAACACAGUUCCAGACUUCAGAAUGAGAUGUGGAAACCUGGUGAGAAGGUUGGGGAGAGAGGUGAUGUAAUCUCAUCUCCCCAACCCCCCUUACACAAUAGAAAUCAGCUGGAAGUUUGACCAUUAAGGGAUGUAGGAUACUUGUCAUGAUUUAUCAUCCUGAUCUAUCGAAACAAAGGUGCAGUUCGCAGUUCAAUGUUCUACAAUUGGAUUGUCAAGAUUUACGACAUGAGCCAGAGGUUGUGAAAACACUGGAAAGAAAAAGUAAUAUCAACAUGAAGCAAGUCUACAUUUUGGCGAGUUGUGCAGAUGGAUAGUAACUUGCCCGGGCAGACACAUCUUGUGUCCAUCAGACAGGAAUUAAUCAAUAUAUACAAGCGUAGAGAAUCUCUGGAAAGGACAUGAUGAUUUCUGAAUCAGUGCUGCAGCAAAGAAACAAAUUAAGCGGGUUAUAGACAAACAUUAAAAUUUAAUGAUCACCACUGACAUGUUAUUUCAUCCUAGUGGAUUUUGUACGAUUAAUGUGUACACAUUCACAGCAUACCACACUGGUUGUUUAUAUCUGCUGUCAAGAUCAUAUAUUUAAUGUUCCUGUUCUGUUGUCAAUUCUGUUAUAACACAUUUUUCAAAUGAUAUGAUUUAUUAAUAGUUUGCUGAUCGCUGUGUUGAUAAGUUGCAUUUAAAUAUGCAUAAAACUCCACAGUUUGUUAUGUUUAGUUAGUAUCUGAUGUAUUAUUCAUCACCAUGAAAACAUAUUAUUUAAAGUAAGGAAGGGGGGGGGGGGGGGUAUAUACAUACAUAUCCAUUUCCUUACUGUUAUUUCAAGUUAUUUGAAGUUAACCUCAGUUAUUUUAUGUUCUGUGAUCAUAUGAGCUGUUGGACAUUAAACAAAUGUAACAGAUA